rnacentral:lncRNA from 1 species
AUUUCAAUACGAAACUAGCACAAAACUAGCGAAGGGAAGUCUGUUUCCCUUGAAAAUCUCUCGAUAAUUCGAAGAAAAACAAUGUAUUUUUCUCCCCUCAUUAAUUCGAAAUUUUUAAGCUGGCGCGGCCCUCUUUAAUUCGAAAUCGCGAUGGAAAUUCUCUCUGUAAUUCGAAGUGUGGGAAGUGAAUACGGCCCUCCCUCUAUAAUUCGAAAUAAGACGGUACAUUACCUCUGCAAUUCGAAGUCAACUGUUUAUGUACCUGGGUGUCUAAAAGAGCUUGACCUUUGACCUAAAGACCUUUUGGCGUAAAUCCGUCCAUUUCCCCCUCUAUAAUUCGAAUUUAGAUGGCGCCUGCCCUCUAUAAUCCGAACCUCUCUAAUUCGAAAUUUCUCCACUUGGAAUCUCUUUAAUUCGAACUCUCUUUAUUUCGAAACCUCGCUAAUUCGAAGAAAAAGCCGAUUCCCUUCAAUUUCGAAUUAUCGAGAGUCCACUGUAGUAGCCAGGAGGCAGAGCCCUCCAGUAACAUUAUUCCUGGCAAUCUGGCAUCAAGUCUAUUGAAGUAGGGAAGCUAAAAAAAAAGGUGAGAAAAGUUGGAAGAAGGAAAGGUCAAGCAGUGGCGUGGCGUGCUUUGCGAUAUAUCGAUUGAUACGCCACUCAAACCUAUGUAAAAAGAUCGAUUAUCAGGGUGUUCGCAGCGAACACCUCAGUAAUCGAUUCUUUACCAUAGCUUCAAAUGGCAAGAUAUCGAUAAUCGAUUAUUCACGCCACGCCACUGAGGUCAAGUUAACACCUGCGCGCCCUGCAAGUGCGCAAACAACAAACAGCAAAAAAAGGAAAAGUCUACCUGCGUCAGUAACUUUGACGCGGAAAAUCACAGGUGAUUCGUUGCGAGAGUAUAAAAUCUUAUCUCCCUGCAGAAAGUUUUGGAAGUUUUUUAGAGAUCGAUAAAAAUGGGGGCUCUCAUAAGACUUGUGUUUUUUGUGACUGCGUCUGCGGUUGUGUUGCAGGUGGCGGAGAGUAAGUCAGUUGUACAGGAUGCCAAGGAUGCACUUUCUCAUGCUGUUAAGUCAGUUGGGUUCACGCACGAAAAGAAAACCCCACCCGAGCGGGAGAUGAAAGCAAUCGAAAAGUCGGAGAAAUUCGUCAAGAACAGGAUCGAUCGCUACAUGGACAUGAGUAUCGCUGAGGAAAAGAAAGCUCUCAAAAAAAUAAACAAUGCAAAAAAGAAAACUGGACCAAGAAGACACUGGAUUUUUUACGCUGACUUCUUGGAGAGCAAUGUUAAUGUCCUACGAUUCGAGGUCAGGCUGAGUGUUUGUAAGCAACAAAAGCAUUUCAAAAAGUUCAUCGACGAUGUCCCGUCCGCCAACCCCGAACUUGCAAAAUUCAUGAAAUCAGAGGAGUAUCAAAGGAAAAUAAAGAUAGACCCGUCAACUUUGGACCCAGCAAUCAUCGUUGCGUAUGGGACUCCGAGUCAAGGUGCGGCAGUUGAUACGGCUGAGCCAAUGAUUAAGUCGAUUGAAAAUACUGGGACCUCCAUCGGGACCGUUCUCGAUAAAAAUUUGGAACGGACUGAACCUAAGGAAAAGAGAUACUUGAAAAAAUACAGACUACAUCCUCAAUGCACCAGCCGAGUAAUCUUUGGUUGA